CAGUUCUCUUCCCGCUGCCAUUGGUCUAGUCUAUUUUUGGACCUGUGUCCCCGUGUGCUCACCGACUGCGUGCAGUUACAGUGGAAGCUUCACCCCAAAUGAUAACUGGACGUGAAAACCCCUCUAUCUGGGCUUAUUCAUCUGCACACCCCAAGGAAACUGGAGAUGUAAAAUCAUUUUAAAGUUAAGUGUAAGUAUGGCAUUAGAGCCACUAACAGAACCAGAAAAGGGCUUCAAGUAAAGUGCAAAGUUUACGACCUGAACCUGUGGCCCCCACCAGCUCCAUCACAUCUGAGACGGACAGACAUGCUUCAGGUCUCCAGACAUCACGCCAUCUCACUGAUUUGUUGGGUAAGAGUGUGCGUUGGGUAAAGAGUCAUCCUUAAUUCCAGACUUGGCUUCGAACUGCUCAUAGGAUUAAAGCCUCCAUUGUCUGCAGCCCUGAUCCUCAACCGCAGCAUCUGCCAGUCGGCCCACUGUCAGCUACACGGAAGGACAGGCCCAGUGUCUGGUCACCAAAUGGACCAGCAUCUCAAACAAUCUUAUAAAUAAACACGGGGGAUAAGGCUUAGCGUGCACACGUUUGCUGAGCGCGGGAUCUCUCGGCCGGGAGGUGAUGGUGCACCCCCACCCUCCCCACCUCCUCUACCCCGAUCAGUGGCUGGAAAGCUUUGAAAGGUGCAAGAGGCGACCCAUCAGGAGCGCCCUGGAUGCCAUCGCCCCACCCAGGAGAGAGCUCCAGGCACAGGGGAUAGGCUGAGAAUUGACUCGUGCCCGGCUUUCGCUUGUCUGCCUUUCUGGCGCAAAUCAGGAACAGAAUUUGGGAGGAGGCCUGCCUCUUCCCGGACUGCCCUGCCACCCUUAGUCCUUUGGCCCCUGCCCUGAAUUCUUUUCAGAUCCUUGCAGAGGCCAGGCUCUGGCCCGUGCCCCAGCUGGGUCUCAUUUCCUCCACCUUGGCCUGUGGAUUAGUCAGGGGUCAGCAGAGGAACAGAACCAACAGGACAUACAGAGACAUAUACAAGAGGAGAUUUAGUCUACGGAUUGGCUCACAUGUUACAGAGGUUGAAAAGUCCCGUGACCAGUUGUCCACCAGCUGAAGGACCAAGAGAGCUGGCAGCGUAAUUCGGCCCGAGUCCAAAGGCCUGAGAAGUGGGGGGCGGGGUUGAUGGUUAAGUCCUGAUCUGAGUUUGAAAGGCAGAGAACCAUGAGUGAUGUCUGCAGGCAGCAGAAGACGGAUGUCUCAGCUCAAGCAGAGAGAGAGUUGGAGUUGCCCAGGCAACUGGACAGAUAUUCUGCCGCCUCCACAAAGGCAGAAGCUCCAGGCAUCCCGACUCUGCAGUCUCUGUGGACCUCUAGGAUUUGGCCCC